GGAGAUUUUAGGAAACAUAUGUGAAUAGAGAGGUCAACGAUGAAAACCAGCCGUCAACAGAAAGAUUAGAUUGAGGAAAGCUGGAGAAGGAGUAGGGCUUGAUUGGAUAAGAUCCGGCAUAAGAAAUUUUCCAGGAUCAGAACCAAACAAGCACUCGGUGCUGUACGUGAUUCUACGAAACGAGAUGCUCCGAUUUGUUUUAUCCGCAGGCUAGCUACAACGUCCUCAAUUACCGUCGAUUGGGGUGUGAAUAGAAAAUUAGCAUGAGUUAUAUAGAAAGGAAGAAGGAAUAGGCAUGGAGGAUGGAAAGACGGACGCUCUGCUUUGAGGUGGCGCUUCCGAACCAGCAAUUGCCUGGAUGCCGCCGCCCGCAAUAACCCACAGUGUAUGCCAAAGUGUGGGGACAUGACGCGUUAGGCAUGUGCCGUCAUGUGUUGUGCGUGUUCCAAGGGAACCCAUUGGAAUGGACACAGGUCGGUGGACGGAAGGGAUGGGGAACCACAUCUCAUUUUUCAAAUCACACAAAACAAUACAUGCACCAUGCCGAUCUAUUAUGCUUGACCCACAAUGUAUAAUUUCCACAUUCUGAUUCUGUAUGCAUUUUUUUUAUAGGGUACAGCUGAAUCAUGCUAACAAAACUAAAGCAAUGGUAAGAAAUAGAGGAUCCCAUUGAUAAUUAUCGUCACGCAUCAAAUUACUGCUAGGAGAA
rnacentral:lncRNA from 1 species